CCAAUAGUCUCUUCCUUGCUCAUUGUAUUUCCCUUGGUGCAGUUCCGGGCACAGCCAGUGGGGGCGCUGCUGGCUCCCGGCCGGGCAGGGCGGGUGCGAUGAUUCCCCCACUCCAGCAGGGGGCGCUGUGGCGCGGCUCAGGGCCCACAUGGUAAUGGCGGCUUGGCCAAGACGAGAAGGGGCAGAAAAAGGGCUUGCUUUACAAAUGUCUCGGUUUUGAGACAGUUUUAGAAGGAAAAUUCUCUGGAAUGAACAUCUUCUAUACAGAAGGCUCCCACCUAUGGCCUGGUUUUCGGAGCUGAAGCUGAAGAGUUCCAGAAGAAGCCACAGAAGUCACCGGAGGAUUGCAGUAUGCAGUCCAGGAAAAUGUCUUGCCUCAGCUAACAAGGAGAAGCUAGCUAAAAGCAAAGAAUGUAACUCCCUCUCUGCUGCAAGGCUGAGCACGGGAGAGUGUGAGAGCUUGAACACAAACUGUGCCCAGCUCCCUCCCUCUUCCAGACCUAGCUUAAAGUUACAGGACCCAUUUCUGGGCAUAAAGCAGAUUAUAAGGGAAUGAAGCAUUAUCAUAAAAUUGCCUCAAAAAACAAACCUCCCAGGGGCAGCCGAUCCUGGUGCCCCAGCAGGACCUUCGGAAGCAGCAAGAUGGAACGGCAGGAAUGAGCAAACAUCCCGUAGACGAGAUGUAUCAGAAACUCUGCAGCUGGAGCUGGAACCGCGAGUGGAGUGUCCCAGGGCGUGCGGAGCUACAGCGCACCAAAAAGCCCGGAGCACCGGCAAAGCGACGGAAGAGCUGGGCAGGGGCACCCCUGUUAUAAAUGAGAGAACGCUCCCGGCACUAAAGUGAUUUCAGCAUUUAUUAUAAUAAAAUAAAGGCCUAAAGCAAGGGGGCCCGCGGGCCGAGCAGGAGCGAUCCCGUCGAGGAUGCUGCAGCGCCGGCGCGAUCUGCUUCAGCAGCGAUGUCCCUGAUGUUCCAGGUGGAGCGGCACAGGUUCAGUGGGUCCGAAGCCCCUUUUUACCCUGUUUUUGUCCCUUUGUAUUGGCUUCUUUUUGGAUCCUUCAUUUGCAUGAAGGUUUAAGGCGCUUGAUUGGCCCUUGCAGUUCUGUCCAGGCUGGCUCGUUUCCCUUGGGGGGUAAUGCACUUUACUUAGGUCUAAUACGGUACACUGAGUACCUUAUUUCUUAUAACUUUAAUCCUUUUAACCGCUUUUACUACAUAACAGCCAAACUAACAGUACAUGCUUAACAACUAUCAACUAUUUUACUACAGUUUCUAACCUAUUUUUAACAGCCCGGUUCCCGAACAUGGCAGAGAGAGGCUCCUGGGACGGGAAAGGGGCUCAGGGAUCCCGGGGUUUCCUCUGAGGCACUCCACCAGAUGGCGAAGGGUCCUCUGGUGAGGUGACACGGGCGCUGCUCACGGUGCAAGAAAGACAGCAGGACCCCCGCAGUGGUAACAAAUUCUCCCCACAACGACCGCAGCCUCUCUCCCCUCUGACUGCCGAGAGCACAGGAUGCCUAGGGGCUGUGCCUAGCCCCUUUCUCCCCAGCCCAAUUCUCGGUAACUUUGUCCUUCCGGUAGAAACUCCUCAGCCCCCGCAGUAAAGCCAGCUGGACUGCUGUCCCUUCUCCUUAGUUACUUCUUUUGUCUCUCUUAAGUACCAAUCGUUAUUGUUUCUUAGCAACAAAAAUGGGAGAUAUUCCCCGAGAAAACAAAAGGAGGAAAUUCUAAACCCCAACCCAUUGUGUCUCUUCCCAUGGCAGGGGUAUGGAACUGUGUGGAACCUUUCAACCCAGUACCAUUCUGGUAUUCUAGGAUUCUAUGACUUCCUCCUCCACCAUUUGAAUCCCAGUUGGCCUUUCAGGUUAUCAGGGAAGGAGAAAGGCUGUGUGAGAUGCAGACAGGCUAUGGAGAGUCCAUUUCCAUCCAGCUCCACCAGAGGUGCCACCUUCCCAACUACCAGUGUGAAAUCCCCAGCCCUUUUCUGGAAAGACAAAAGGCUGCAGUUUUCCCUGUUUGUGUUUCUCCGGCUCUCUGGCUCCUGCUGUGCCAAUAAUUGUUCCUCUGCUGUUGGGAUUACUGGAAGUGCUUAACCCAGGGCUACCCUUUUUGCCCUGUAUUUCACAUCCCCGCAGGAU